GACGAACGCUGGCGGCGUGCCUAAUACAUGCAAGUAGAACUCACAGUUUAUACCGUAGCUUGCUACACCAUAGACUGUGAGUUGCGAACGGGUGAGUAACGCGUAGGUAACCUGCCUGGUAGCGGGGGAUAACUAUUGGAAACGAUAGUUAAUACCGCAUAAUAUUGAUUAUUGCAUGAUAAUUGAUUGAAAGAUGCUAUUGCAUCACUACCAGAUGGACCUGCGUUGUAUUAGCUAGUAGGUGAGGUAACGGCUCACCUAGGCGACGAUACAUAGCCGACCUGAGAGGGUGAUCGGCCACACUGGGACUGAGACACGGCCCAGACUCCUACGGGAGGCAGCAGUAGGGAAUCUUCGGCAAUGGACGAAAGUCUGACCGAGCAACGCCGCGUGAGUGAAGAAGGUUUUCGGAUCGUAAAGCUCUGUUGUAAGAGAAGAACGGGUGUGAGAGUGGAAAGUUCACACUGUGACGGUAUCUUACCAGAAAGGGACGGCUAACUACGUG
rnacentral:rRNA from 1 species